rnacentral:lncRNA from 1 species
AUUCUUAUGGACCUGGGGCCUGUCCUGGGGAGGUAAAGGCUCUUCCAACCAUGACUCUAUCCCUUACUGCUCCCAGAGACUCAGCUGCUGUCACUGAACUGGAAAACGCCUGAUGUCAGGCCUUGCACACCGGUUAUUUCCAACUUCCUAAUCUGUGCACGUGAGUGUAGCUGAGAGCUGGGGCUACUGAGGAAUUGAAACCACCGCCUGUCUGCCCCCUCGGAGAGCAAUUUUGCCUUCCCUGCAUGUGUGAAUGGACAUCCAAGGCUUCCCUGCAAGCCCCUUUCCACUUUCCUGCCCCUGCCACCCUAACCACAGGAUGGUGAUAGCAAAAAUAAACUGUGUAAACAGGAGGUGGGUACUCAGUAAGUAGCAGCUACUGUGAAAACAGCUAUGUAGCUCACAACUUCAAACUGUGCCUUGCCCUUCAGGCACUUUUUUAAUAAGCAAAAAUCCGUUUCAAAUGCACCCUUGCCUUGUAGUAUGGAAUUAGUACUUUUAACUCUGAUUUUGUUUACUUUAACAAGACACAUCUCCCUGUAACUGGACUCUCCUGGGUGGGCUGCCUUCCUCUCCACUACUCUCAAAGGAGGCUUUGGGACCAUGUCUGACCACAGCUACUUUGAUCCCGAAAGCCUUUAAUCUAGAGCACCUGCUUAAAGGUAUCCUCGCUCAUAUAAAUAAAGCAAGCUCCAGCAGUAGGGAGGUACCCACAUCAGGAGGCCCUGGUUUCUGAUGUGAUUUCAGGCUCCUUCACGGGGGAAGUAAGUCUAUGCCACCCUUUGCUGUCCCCUCUCUGGCUUGUGUCUCAAAGCUUCCUUUCUUCAUACUCAUUGUACAGACCUUUUCCUAGUCUGUCUCUGCCUUUCUGUCCCCUGGGAAGAAAGUAGAAGAAAGAAACCAUGACUAUUUGUUUUCUCUCGGUCAGUUGAUCCCUAGAGCCAAUUGUCUCACGCACAAGGGGGAGUGGGGGGGGGAGCACAGACAGGUCUGAAGUCAACCAUCCACAGCAGGUUUUCAACAAAAACUUUAUUAGUACCACCUUGGCCAUAGGUGAGCCAGCAUUGUGUGUAGCGGAGAGGAGGUGUGGAGUCAGCUUCCACUGCUCUGAGUGGAGCUGCCUCUCCCCCUUGUGUUCUGCAUGUGGGGUUGCAGCGGCUACUGAGCAUCCUCUUUGCAGCCAUAACUCUGCAGCACCUCCUGCACCCGUGUGUGUCCCACCCUGCCUGCCAUCUUUAUUCAGCACUCUGUACCCUGAAAAGCCCACAGGCAUGCCCAAAUCAGAAAGCACGGAGCCCCUGCACUUACUUGCAUCCUGUAUCUUCUGUGUAAGUAGUUGUGUUAUUCGUGUCAAGUUGAUUCAUGUAUUCUCUAGUUCUUUCAAACUGCCGAGUGAAAACAGCAUAACGAAAUGGGGAUUUAAGAAAGCAGAGGUCAGGACUGCGAGGGAAAAAGGAGAAAUACAUCUCUGUUCAGCUUUAUUUUUUUUUUCUGUAAGUCAACAUGACUCCCGUUUUAAAUUCAUAAUGUGGUAAUGUAAAGAUGCUACAUGGGGAAGUAGCCCUAUGGACCAUCUAGAGAGCAAUAGGGCUCCAAGAAAUAAAGACAAAGCAAAGCGAAAC